AUAACUGGCAGCAUAAAAUUGUUAUCUGCGCUGGUUUCUCAUUGUGUCGCGUAUUGUGUGAAUUUUUGGCGUUGCCAAAACAUUCAACCGCCGGUUAUACGCAUGAUGCGGUGGAGAAUGUUAGCUAAGUAGAUGCACGAGUCAUUCAUGUAAUCUUUUGUUAAAAGGAGUCUUAGAGUUGUAGGAAGGCAUGACCGGUGGCGUGCCGGGUCAUGAGUCUACUUGUGUCGGUCAGUUUGUUGACGCCACGACGAGUAUCGUGCACGCGGCGUAUCUUGCAGGGAAACGAGGUACGCACGGUGCCCGCCGUGGCGUGGUGGAUCGGGGCGCCUGUGCUCACGAUCAGAGUCUAUUUAUAUGCAAUAAAGAGGACCGAAAACUGCGACGUUGGGC
rnacentral:lncRNA from 1 species